AACCCAUGAUUUGGGCAUUUUCUCGGCAUCAUUUUGAAUCUCUCCCAUGUCUCACAAAACGCUUCAUUUGCUCUUUAUCUGAACAUAGAAAUUUCAGACUUUACUUU
rfam:Phaseolus vulgaris cultivar G19833 chromosome 11, whole genome shotgun sequence.